GUUUUACAGUUCACAUAUUAUAUUGAUAAAAAUUAACAUGUAACUUGUGUCACCACUUUUAUUAACGUAAUAUUCAAGAAAUGUAUUGUUUUCUCAUUUGCUCCUUUUAAUUCUAAAUUUAAUUUUUAACACCAUAUUAUAGGUUUAGGAUACUACUGAAGAUAACAAUGAAGAUUACUAUAGUGCUCGUUCUUGCGUUUAUUGGGCUGGUAAUGGUUGCUGAAUCUAAGAACAUACCCGAAUACGCCGACGAUUAUUAUCUCCAAUCCGUUAAAAGGGCCGACGAGGAGAUCGCUAUGGCCGAGAGAGGGUAUACAGAAGAAAUUGCAGCCUUGAAAAGAGAUAUUGAGAAGAGUGAACAAGUUAAAGAGGCUGAAGUCGAAGCUAUCAAAAAAAGAUGGUGCUAUCCGAUAUUUACCUGCGGAGGGUAGAGGGAAUAGAAAGAAAAAUAGAAAUGACUUUUUGAAGCUUUGGACUUAUUAUCAUAUCGUACCUUUAGCUCCUAAAUUAUGAUUUUAAUCGGUGUGUCUGACUUUUCUGGAUAAUAUGUUGACUAGUUUUAUAAUUCUUGAUCACAAAAAGUAAAAGGUUUAUUCAUUAUACAUGGGUAGAGUUAAUAUUACAUGCUUUGUUCAAUGCAAUGUUAAAAAUGAAAAAUAUCAUUAACACAAAAUUCAAACUGAAA